AUUCUCGGUUUGAUAAAUACGGUAUAGUAUGGUUUAAUACGUGUUAUUUAGAAGAGAGAUUAUGGUAAUGGUUUAGCGCGAAUAAUGCACGGGUUUUGUGUGCAUGUUUUAGCGCGAAAGCGCACGAGUUUUUCGUUUUGGGGUAUAUAUGAUUUGCAAAUCUAUUGAGUCGCCAUUCGAGGGUGCAUUUGACAGGCAAACGUUAAGGAACAAGAAAACGAAAGGGUGAUAAAGUAGUUUAGGCGUUCAUUUGCGAAAUACAUAGUGUUCGGAAGGAAAAGAUUUUGCGAGGACUGAUUCACUGCUAGAAGAGGAAUGGUAAGAUGGAGUUUCGAACAAAGGUCAGACUUGAUGGUUCUGUUUAUUUUAAUAACACUGACAACAACAUUCCGAUUGAAAUUAACACAGGUUGUGUUCAUUGUUAACUUUUAUGAAAAUUAUAUUCAAUAACCUGCUCCAUAUUUUUAACCAGGUUGUAUUGGUAGAAGAGUUAGGUCACUCUCCCACAUGUUUUUACGAACACCUUGCUUUAUUUGUGUUGUUUGUAAGAUAAACUCCUUGUAUGGGUAUAUAUGUGUUACAAGUUUUUGUAUUAGUUCCAUACGUAUGAUUCAACAAACGAUUAAUUACAAUUAACUGCCGUAUUUCCUUGUAAUUCAGCAAGAUCUUUGUGUGCGAUAUAUGACGUGGUAUGAUAAUGAGCGGAUAAUAAUUUAUGCGUACAUAUCUUUCAACUAUUCAGGUAUUCCAAUUGUGAAUUAAGAAUGUAACAUCAAAAAUGGAUAUAUUAAGGAAAUUAGAUAUUCUAUUUAUAUAUGAAACAGCAAUAGAGACUUGUCUUGAAAACUUUUUCGAAACAUAUUUGUGUUUUGCAUAUAUUACAUCUCGUUCGCUGGAUAUUGAAAAAACAGUUGAUAUGUUAUUAUUGUAUUCAACAUGCAUAUGUGCGAAUUACCAUAUUUUGGAUAUGAUGUGGUAUAAAUUUGGUUUGAAAAGAGUGUUGACAGUAAGACUGUUGUUUUAAAACUAAGUUGAAAGGCAAUUAUCGGUUUUGUUAAAUUUAGUUUCGUCAUAGUAAAAUGCACUUUUAAAUAUUAGGUACUGUAAUGAUAACAAAAGUAUCACAUGAUUUAUUAGCAUUAUAAGUCAUUUUGUUUUCGUGAAUAGUUUUUGUUCUUGUUUGGUGACCUGUUGGCUUGAGGUGUAAAGACAUUUUGCUUUUAUGGUAUUUGGCCGUUUUUUGAAUGCCAGUUAAGAUGUGUAAUUUGCUUAUCGUUUGGUGAAAGCCAGUUGACAAGAUGUGGAUAAACCCAGUUGGCGCAUGUAGUUUUUUAACCAAACUUGUUAAAACGUACGUUUACAUUUACAUUUUUGUGUCUUAUAUUUUUAAGAUUGUACUGAUCGAGUGGUAUUCAAUAUAUUGGAGAAUAUUACAUGUAUGUUAUUAAAGGCCAGAUUGGCUUAUGUGAAUUAACCGGUUGGUUUGUGUUGUCAGUUGACAGUUUGUUGAAGGCAGAUUUUUUCAUAUACGUAUAAGCCAGUUUGCUUGCGUGUCAGUUCACCGAAAUUUCUCAAAACGCAUGUUGAAAUUGCAUUUACAAAUGUUUGCAAAGUUUAUUUUUUCAGUAGCUUGACAGUUCGAAGGAUAAAUAAUGAAUAGUGUAACAUUAAAGUAAGAGGGCAGCUCGAAAGGUAUGAUUGUUUUUUGUAUAAUAAUGUAUUAGAAAAUCUUGUACUUGUCAAGAUUAAUAAUGAUUUUAUUGAUGAUGUUAUUAAUGAUGAUGAUGAUGCUAAUGCUAUUGAUGAUGAGGAUGAGUGUUUUACAGUAUUUUGUUAAUAGAUAAUACUACAUUUACGAACUUUGAGUAAAUGAAAUUAUUAUAGGUUUGAUAAAUACGGAAUAGUGUUGGUCUAUACAUAUUAUUUAGAAGAGAAAGAUAGUACGGUUAUGGUAAAGCACAAACAAUGAACGCGUUUCUCGUUUUUAAGUUGAAUUGAACAAAAACAAGUUACGGCUCAGCAACAGGGAUUAUUCUCACUGGGUAAAGGUAUUCUUUUUAGAGUCACAGAAAUUAAACUUUGCAUCAAUACAGGUUUUCUUUGAGAUUUGUUUGAUAGGUUAAAAUUCAAUAAUUUGACGAGGUUUCCAGCCGACCGAGUACCUAUAGCUUUGUAUUUGAGUGUAUUAAGGAUUUUGUUAUUUUCAAAUUAGUUGAUCAAAAUUAAUUAAGUGUUCUAUUAUAUCUAUUGAGCCAAUGCUAUUUCCAUGGAAAUUUGAGCCAGGUUUCGAUCAGUAGCUUAAAGUAUAUCUGUGUUGGUGAAUUGAACAUAAAACAAAUGUCAAGUCGGUAGUUUUAAAUUUAAGAGCAGAAAAUACGUAUUGAUUUUGUGUAAACAUUAGUAACCUGUGUUUGGUAUUUGUGUAUGUUACUUGUGGUCAUUGGACCAAUUUGUUUAAGGCGAAUGGGCCUGAUUUGGAAAGCCAGUUGGCUUGUAUGGUCAAUUGACCGUUUUUCAAAGCCAUUCUAUCUAAUGUGUGAAAGCCAGUUGGCUUGUGUUGUCAGUUUACCGAACUUUCUUAAAACAAAAGUCACAUAGAAUUAACAAUCUUUGAAAGUUUAUUGUUUGCAGUGCAGUAACUGGACAUUUCGAAUAGUAUAUUAAGUAUUGAAGAACAUAAAUGUAUGGUUUAUUAUUAUUAGCAGGAUUCUGAUUAUGAUGUUUUUUAUUUUUGUUUUAAUAAUUAUCAUUAAUUUUAUAAAUAUUGUUUUAUUAUUUCUGUUUUAUUCUAUUUUAUUUUCUUAGUGGUCAGUUGAUAGUUUGUUGAUGGCAAUAGGUGCCUGAUGAGUAUAAGCCGGUUGGCAUGUUUGGUCAGUUGACCGUUUGUGAAGGCUAGAGUAUGCCUUAUGUUGAUACGCCAGUUGGCUUGUGUUAGUUGAUCGUACUUUCUUAGAACGCAUGUCCACAUGGAAUAAACAAUAUUUGCAAGUUUAUUUUUGUAGUGCAGUAAGUGGACAGUUUGAAUGGUUUAUUUAGUAUUGGAGAACAUAAAGGUAUUGUUUAUUUAGUAUGUUAUUAUUAUUAUUAUUAUUAUUAAGAUUAUGAUAAUGAUUUUUUAAUUUUUGUUUUAAUAAUUAUCAUUAUUUUGUAAAUAUUGUUUUAUUAUAUCUGUUUUAUUCUCUUGUGUAUUAUCCGAGUUGUCAGUUGACCGUUUGUGAAGGCCAGAGUGGGCCUGUUGUUGAUUAGCCAGUUGGCUUAUGUGGUCAUUUGACCGUUUGUAAAGGCCAGCGUGCCAGAUGUUGAUAAGCCAGUUGGCUUGUGUGGUCAUUUGACCGUUUGCAAAGGCUAGAGUGUUCCAGAUGUUGAUAAGCCAGUUGGCUUGUGUUAGUUGACCUUACUUUCUUUGAACGCAUGUCCACAUGGAAUAAACAAUCUUUGCAAGUUUAUUUUUUGCAGUGCAGUAACUGGACAGUUCGAAUGGUAUAUUAAGUAUUGGAGAACAUAAAGGUAUGGUUUAUGUAGUAUGUUAUCAUUAUUAUAAAGAUUAUGAUUAUGAUAUUUUCUAUUUCCGUUUUAUUAUUUAUCAUUAAUUUUGUAAAUAUUGUUUUAUUAUAUCUGUUUAAUUCUCUUGUACAUUAUUCGAGUGGUCAUUUGACCGUUUGUGAAGGCCAGAGUGUGCCUGAUGUUGAUUAGCCGUUUGGCUUGUGUGGUCAUUUGACCGUUUGUGAAGGCCAGAGUGUGCCUGAUGUCGAUUAGCCAGUUGGCUUGUGUGGUCAUUUGACCGUUUGUGAAGGCAAGACUGUGCCUGAUGUUGAUAAGCCAGUUGGCUUGUGUGGUCAGUUGACCGUUGUUGAAGGCCAUAGUGUGCCUAUUUUGAUUGAAUUAUUUUUAUUGCUUUUACAAAUAUUUGUAAUUGUAUCUUUUCAGUUAAAACACAGUUCGAGAGGUAUAUAACGUGGUGGGGAAUAUUUAGGUAUCCAUUUUAUGUUUUAUAUUAUUUGUAUUCUCUCUUUGUUUUAUUCGAAAGUCCUGUCAAAUACAAGCACUCACUCCUAUUUUGUCUUUGGUUUAUUAUUUGUAUGAUAAUGAUAAUGAUGAUGAUAUGGGUUAUAAAGAUGAUGAGAUUUUAAUAGUAUUUUGAGAAUAGAGAAUAAUAAAUUUACACAUAACUAUGAGUAAAUGAAAUUAUUCUCGGUUUGAUUAAUACGGUAUAGUAUGGUUUAAUACGUGUUAUUUAGAAGAGAGAUUAUGGUAAUGGUUUAGCGCGAAUAAUACACGGGUUUUGUGUGCAUGUUUUAGCGCGAAAGCGCACGAGUUUUUCGUUUUGGGGUAUAUAUGAUUUGCACAUCUAUUGAGUCGCCAUUCGAGGGUGUAUUUGACAGGCAAACGUUAUGGAACAAGAUAACGAAAGGGUGAUAACCCCGCCCACCCGCCCUUAAUGAACAUAUGUAUGGUUAAAUAAUGGUUACAUUGCUUUUAUGUUUAUAAUUUUGCAAUUAUAAAGUCUAUAUUUAGUAUAUUUUCAGUUCGGUUUUUAGUCCAUGUGAGAUGGGAUCUUAACACGAACCGAUUCCUUUACUGGGAAAGACGAUGGGUGUAUUUUCAUUUAAGUCUGAAGCAGCUAAGUUUUCUUGAUUAUUUUGACUCAUUUUUUUACUUAAUAUUGUGUUUGAAUGAGGUUUUUUAAGUUAUUGGUGUCAUGUUUUUCGAGACUCUGACUUCCUGGAGAUAGUUCCUCCAGCAUAUUUAUUGAAAUAUUGGUAUGUUUAAAUGUCAGUGUUAUAUUUUUUGUUGUCUUUCGUAAUGAACGUUUGGUUUUAAAGACAUUCUUAUUGUACAUUACUUAAUAUUUUCAUUUUGGUGUGACUGGUUAGAUGUUGAAGUCGGUUUAAUAUAUCUGUUAUAUAUUUCUCGGAAUACUUAUGAUUUAUCAACAUUCUUUUUAGGUGCUUUAUGGAUUUUAUGGUUUGAGUGAUUUGUUUGUUUCUUGUUGAUGUCCGGGGUGUGUGCGGGAUGCUUUUGAUGUUUGUUUGUUAUGUUAAUUUGCGCAAUGAAAUUGAUAAUGUUUUAAUUACAUGUUUUACUAAAGAAUACUUAAUGUUUACAGUAUAACAAUAGCUGCUUAUUUGUAGAUUUCUCUUAUAUUAGAGGUUUCGGGAGGUGAUGAAGGCACCUAGACACCGGUUUCGAGCCAUGGGUCCUCAUACGUCCCCCUGCCAUUAAAAGAAAAAAUGAGAAAACAAAAUGGCAGUAGGGUUGCGUAUCCCGCUCGCGGUUUUACCUGAAUCGUUUAUUACUACUGAUUAUUGUAUGGGGUGUACGUAAAGUCAUGUACACUUCUCUUGAUGGGUGGUGGUGGAUGAAUCUUGCAGAUAUUAGCAGCUUCUUUGAAACAAUUAAUGUUUCACAUUUGUUAAUUUAUAAUAUUUAAGCAAGUUAGCGUGAAUGAUGGGCAUUGGGGGCGUCCUGUGUACCAUUGGGCAUCGGCGGGGAUCAGUUUAUUCAAACAGUUACUAUUUAUUUGAGAUAUAUACUUGUCUAAUUGUUAUGAAUAAAUUUGCACUUGUUCACAUGACACACAUGUGCAUGUGAAGUAUUCAUAAUUACAUGCCCUACAGCAUUUAAAUAGUAUCGUUUCAGUUCUUUAUACACCUGAGCAAAGAUGUAACACCGUUUCCAGUCGUCUCGAGACUCAUCAACAGAGCGGUGCCGUUGAGGUCUAUAUCCAUUGCACAUAUAACACAUACGGGCGUCAGAAGAAUUGUUUUUUACAUUUAUAUGUCGAAAGUCCUGUCAAAUACAAGCACUCACUCCUA